rnacentral:rRNA from 1 species
AUGUGACGAGUUUGAUCAUGGCUCAGAACAACGCUGGCGGCAUGCCUAACACAUGCAAGUCGAACGAGACUUCGGUCUAGUGGCGGACGGGUGAGUAACGCGUAGGAACCUGCCAAGCAGUGGGGAAUAACAGCUGGAAACGGCUGCUAAUACCGCAUACNCCCUUCGGGGGAAAGAUUUAUCGCUGUUUGAGGGUCCUCGCGUUCGAUUAGCUAGUUGGUGAGGUAACGGCCCACCAAGGCGACGAUCGAUAGCUGGUCUGAGAGGAUGAUCAGCCACACUGGGACUGAGACACGGCCCAGACUCCUACGGGAGGCAGCAGGUGGGAAUAUUGGACAAUGGGGGAAACCCUGAUCCAGCAAUGCCGCGUGCGUGAAGAAGGCCUUAGGGUUGUAAAGCGCUUUCACCUGUGAUGAUGAUGACAGUAGCAGGAGAAGAAGCCCCGGCUAACUCCGUG